UAGUCGUAGUACAUUGUUUUUUCUGUGUUUGUUGCGAUUUAUUAACCUAUAGAGUAUAUAAAUAUUAAAAUCGUAUAAGUUUGAAAUUUAGUCAAAUGAUUUCUUUUAAUAUUCUAAAAGGAGCACGGAAAUAUUAUGUUUACUCUGUAGUUAAUGUAUAGGUGUUUCAUUAUUCGCGUUCGUGUAAGUAUGCUAACAUAUACAGUGUCUAUAUAUAGCGUAAUAAUAUAUUAUAGUUACGCCCUAGUCCCUGGUGAAUUUAUCG